UCAAAAUGGAAAGCAAAUGUGUUUCCUAACAAUGUCAGCAUCAUAAACAUCACACUUCUUGAAAAUAAUGAGCAAGCAAUUGUUUGUGAAAUCACCACUGAUAAGAUAAGAUUUUAUGCAAGACCAUUAUUCAAUGUCAUUGGGAAU